UCGACUGCAUAAUUUGUGGUAGUGGG
rnacentral:piRNA from 4 species